rnacentral:rRNA from 1 species
CCUACGGGGGGCAGCAGUCGAGAAUCAUUCACAAUGGGGGAAACCCUGAUGGUGCGACGCCGCGUGGGGGAAUGAAGGUCUUCGGAUUGUAAACCCCUGUCAUGUGGGAGCAAAUUAAAAAGAUAGUACCACAAGAGGAAUAGACGGCUAACUCUGUGCCAGCAGCCGCGGUAAUACAGAGGUCUCAAGCGUUGUUCGGAAUCACUGGGCGUAAAGCGUGCGUAGGCUGUUUCGUAAGUCGUGUGUGAAAGGCGCGGGCUCAACCCGCGGACGGCACAUGAUACUGGGAGACUAGAGUAAGGGAGGGGGAACCGGAAUUCUCGGUGUAGCAGUGAAAUGCGUAGAUAUCGAGAGGAACACUCGUGGCGAAGGCGGGUUCCUGGACAUUAACUGACGCUGAGGCACGAAGGCCAGGGGAGCGAAAGGGAUUAGAUACCCGAGUAGUC